CAUUUUCUCCUCAUAUUUAGGACUCAAUUUGAAGAAGGCUUACAAUGUGCAAGACUAAGAUCCAAUACAAGCACAUGAUGAAAAUAUUAUGAACUCCAUUUUUCUUAAUUUUCUCGUCACCCUAUUUUGCUCUGCUACACCCAGUCAGAAGGUUUGGGUACGAAAAAAUCAAGAACCUACUUUUUCAACAAACCAGCAAGCUCACCCUUUUCAUCCAUGGAAGUUAAGAUAUCACAUCCUCCUAUCAACUCCCCAUUGACAAAAAUUUGUGGGAACGUAGGCCAGUUGCUAUACUUCUUCAAUGUCUCCCUCAAUCCAUAAUUAUAUUCUUCAUCCAGCACGUCUACGCUUUCAUAAUCUAUUCCUUGGCUUUCAAGAAUGCCGAUUACCCUUUGAGAGAAUCCACACAAUGGGGCACUUCGUGAUCCCUUGAUAAAGGCCACCACCCUGUUCUCCUUGACUAAUUUCCCAAUAAGCUCCUCCAGUGGAACUGUUAGCUGGACAUGACGGCCAGGUGUAAGUCGGAGAUCAGGCUUCUUCUUUGGUGGUUGCCUGAUCCACGUAGCAUUCCCUGAUUGAUUGCCUGGUGGAACCUUUCCAGUGGUUUUUAUAUGUUCUUCCAUCCAUGAUUUCCAAGCUUGAGUAAGUGACUCUCUAUCAGGUUCAUCUACUACCCCAAACUUAACGAAGGAACAAAGGUCCGGCACCGACUUCAGGUGUGAGAAAACGCUAGCCCCAAUGUUCCGGGAGAUGCCAAUGAAUUGAAGAUCAUCGUUCUUAUCAUAAACGGCGUAAACACCCGAUUCUGACGGCAAAUUUUUAGAGAACUCAUCAGCUGUUAAAGGUACCGCUACUAAAUCCGUCUCGGCGAGGUUCUUGACGGCUGCAGCGACAAUUAGAGAACAAGGUCUAAUUGGGUUGUAGGGUUUUAAAGAAAUGGAAGGAAAGGGGAUGAAGGGCUUAGAGAGUGAAUGGAAUGAGAGGUUGGGGGUACUUUGAGGAGUAUGCGAAGAUAGUAAACGAGGAGAAAGAGAAGCUUGCACUGGAGAGAGGCUGACGGCGGCCAUGGAAAUGAAUGAGAACUGAGAAGGCGAACCUGAGACUUCACUUGAGAACAGAGGUCACAGCAGAC
rnacentral:misc_RNA from 1 species